GCCCUCAUAGUUCAACGGAUAGAACGCAAGCUUCCGGAGCUUGUGAUGUGGGUUCGACUCCUGCUGGGGGCA
rfam:Parcubacteria group bacterium RIFCSPHIGHO2_01_FTLL_47_10b rifcsphigho2_01_scaffold_22105, whole genome shotgun sequence.